UCAUGCUAAAGCCAAACUCCGGGCGACCGGAGGACGGAAAGCAACGGGUCUUAAUAUAAAGACAGCCGGGCUGCCAUG
rfam:Desulfococcus oleovorans Hxd3, complete genome.